rnacentral:rRNA from 1 species
CCUACGGGAGGCAGCAGUGGGGAAUAUUGCGCAAUGGGCGAAAGCCUGACGCAGCGACGCCGCGUGAGGGAUGAAGGUCUUCGGAUCGUAAACCUCUGUCAGCAGGGAAGAACGGGCACUGUGCUAAUCAGCAGUGAAUUGACGGUACCUGCAAAGGAAGCACCGGCUAACUCAGUGCCAGCAGCCGCGGUAAUACGGGGGGUGCGAGCGUUAAUCGGAAUUACUGGGUGUAAAGCGCUCGUAGGCGGUAUGUCAAGUCAAGGGUGAAAUCCCCGCGCACAACGUGGGAACUGCCUUUGAAACUGGCUGACUGGAGUGUGUGAGGGGAUAGUGGAAUUCCAGGUGUAGGAGUGAAAUCCGUAGAUAUCUGGAGGAACAUCAGUGGCGAAGGCGACUAUCUGGCACAUAACUGACGCUGAGGAGCGAAAGCGUGGGUAGCAAACAGGAUUAGAUACCCUUGUAGUC